rnacentral:rRNA from 1 species
GACGAAGGAUGCAAGCGUUAUCCGGAUUCAUUGGGUUUAAAGGGAGCGUAGGCGGCCUUAUAAGUCAGUGGUGAAAUCUCUGGGCUUAACCCAGAAAUUGCCAUUGAUACUGUAGGGCUUGAGUAUAGUUGCCGUUGGCGGAAUAUGACAUGUAGUGGUGAAAUACAUAGAGAUGUCAUAGAACACCGAUUGCGAAGGCAGCUGACGAAACUAUAACUGACACUGAGGCUCGAAAGUGCGGGGAUCAAACAGG